UACAGAGGGUGCAAGCGUUAAUCGGAAUUACUGGGCGUAAAGCGUGCGCAGGCGGUGAUGUAAGACAGAUGUGAAAUCCCCGGGCUUAACCUGGGAAUGGCAUUUGGGACUGCAAGGCUUGAGUGCGGCAGAGGAGACUGGAAUUCCUGGUGUAAGCGGUGAAAUGCGCAGAUAUCAGGAGGAACACCGGUGGCGAAGGCGGGUCUCUGGGCCGAUACUGACGCUGGAGGAGCGAAAGCGUGGGGAGCGAACAGG
rnacentral:rRNA from 1 species